AUUGAACGCUGGCGGCAGGCUUAACACAUGCAAGUCGAGCGGGGUGAUGGUGCUUGCACUAUCACUUAGCGGCGGACGGGUGAGUAAUGCUUAGGAAUCUGCCUAUUAGUGGGGGACAACAUCUCGAAAGGGAUGCUAAUACCGCAUACGUCCUACGGGAGAAAGCAGGGGAUCACUUGUGACCUUGCGCUAAUAGAUGAGCCUAAGUCGGAUUAGCUAGUUGGUGGGGUAAAGGCCUACCAAGGCGACGAUCUGUAGCGGGUCUGAGAGGAUGAUCCGCCACACUGGGCCUGAGACACGGCCCAGGCUCCUACGGGAGGCAGACGUGGGGAAUAUUGGACAAUGGGGGGAACCCUGAUCCAGCCAUGCCGCGUGUGUGAAGAAGGCCUUAUGGUUGUAAAGCACUUUAAGCGAGGAGGAGGCUCUUUUGGUUAAUACCCAAGAUGAGUGGACGUUACUCGCAGAAUAAGCACCGGCUAACUCUGUGCCAGCCGCCGCCGUAA
rnacentral:rRNA from 1 species